AGGGAGAGGAGGACGCCAUUUUGGUCAGGGGGACAGGGAGGGCCCAGGAGGAGAAGGAUACUAUUUUGGUCCGGGGGGUGUGGAGGGAGCAUGGGGAAGAGGAAAUUUGGGUCAAGGGAAUGGGGAGGGGCCGGAGGAGGAGGAAAUUUGGGUCAUCUGUAUGGAGGAAACCAUGUAGGACGGAUGCCUCCGUCACCGCGGGGCAGGACGCAACGGAACCACAAAUGAUGUGACAGCACCAGCCAUCGCGUUGGCCUGGCGCCCCCAGCGGUACUGAUUGCUGCUGGUCUCCCCGGGGGUGAUUUAGGACGGCGUUUCUAUCUUUAGAGCAAGUGUUGCUUUUGAUUGUAAUUUGUGUUGUGAUCCUCAACUUGUUAAACAUGUGUAUCUUGUGCUAGUAGGCUAUAGUGGUUGUUCGAGAGCAAACAUCUGCAAUGCUAGCUCCCAAUAGCAUUAUGGUUUGGCAAUCUCAAAUUCUCAGCACCAGCUCCAGGUUGUCCUCCUUCACUCUCACCCACGGAUGAUUUGGUGUUCCUUCACAUGAAGCACCAAUCAACAGUUCAACACAAGCAGGCAGCAGCAGCACAGGGAAGCAAGAAACAAGGAAGCAGCAGGCCAGCAGCACGGGAACAACACGGGGAAGCAACAAGCAAGCAGCAGCAGCAAUAAGCAAGCAGCAGCAGCACAUGAGCAGCAUGGGGAAGCAACUAGUGAGCAGCACCAGCAAGGGCAUGGCAAACAGGGGGAAGCAAGCAGCAACAACUCAACAAAAAAUCGAUUCAAAUAGAAGAGAGAGGUUGAGGUUACCUGCUCCAGCAUGGUUGCCGUUGGGAGGAGAGGCUCCUGCACUUGGGGGAUGGCUGCGGUCGAGUCCAGGCGGCGGUGGCGGCGGCGGUGAGUCCAGGAGGUUUCCCAGCUCUCCCUUUUGUGGCGCCCGUGAAUGCGACCUGCAAAAAAAAAGGUUUCCUAUCGGGUCGAAGCGUAGUUGGGCCUCCCGAGUCCCUCACGUGUCCCAUACGUGACGAAGCCGUGUCAUCCUUUUAAUUCGCAAUUCACAAAAUAUGGUGGGAUACGCGUGUCCGAGCGUGCCCCUGUCUCCGGCCGUAUCCUGCCGUGUCCAUGCUUUUUAGUCUGGUGGUCCAAUUGUGUUACGGGCUGGGAACACACAAUCAACUUUCUUGCUGAUGAAGAUAACACGCACUGAUAAAAUGACACCAAAUUAAUGAACUUUCAUGCUCUGGUCAAUGAUUAAAAUAUGAAGUGGGACAAAUUGUGUUAUCAUUUGAUCUCCAUGUUUUCAUGCUGAUUAUUGGUUUUCUGUCAUAACCAACAUUAUCAGAGACAACAACUCACAUGUUCCUGCUUGACAUUUUUCUACAGGUAAAGUUCUUGGAUCAUCCCAUGGGUGAAGGCCAGCAGCGUCUUGCUAAGAAAAAGGACCUGAGGCCUGCGCUUGAUUGGUCCAUCAUUAAAGGCUGGACUGUACCUCUUUCGGCGACAUCUUAUAGUGUAUCUAUUUAUGGUCAGGCAAAAGGGAAAAGCUGGCAUGCUGCUCAUCUGGUUCCAUCCUAAAUCUGAUGUAGAAGAGAGGAGCAGCACAGAUGAAGAUGAAGCGCUGGGCUCUUCAUCAACCGUCAAAACACAUUCGUCGGACAGAAACAUCGUAUCUAAGCUAAGCAAUCAGAGGAUGGUGACACACAAAUCAUCAGACCCCAGUCGACGGCGUACCCGCAGUUCCUGUGGGCUACUGGUAUCUCCAUUGGAGCCUGCCACCGUCGAACCGAAUGGAAGCGGUUCCCGCCGGUACCCCUUUCGGGUCCGGAGGAACGCAGUGGAACAACAGAGAUAAGUUGGGUAACGCUGCACACUUGAUGAUCCCCACGGGGGUUUACGAGCAUUAUGGGAUAUACUUAGUGAUAUAUACCACAUCAGCUCUAUAUACGUCGAGAAAAUGGCCGCUGUCUUUGCGGAAUCGGCCACAUAGACAGCAUAGCAUAGGGAGACUUUUCGCGACAUUUCUUAUGAGAGUAUCUGGGCCAUGAUCCAUUGACUGGUUGUUACUUGCAGAAGUCGCAAACUUAAGGCUGGUUGUUACUUGUACUUGCGUUGUCUUAUCAUUGACUUGGGCAAUACUUUUGCAUAUGAUCAGUGGCAUUACAGACAUUGCAAUCCAACAUCAACGGCAACAAUUGUCUGAAACUUGCAACCCAAACUUCAACAGCAAACGCGGCUCCAUCCACCAGAGGGACCUGAAAAUACCACAUCGAGAAUGCGUGUACCACUUGACAUGUGACGUGCAACGAGGCUGCCACAAUCACCCUGAACGUGGGGCCAUGACAUGAGAACAACGUCAAAUGCUAAAAUGUGGUUCAAAAAUAUAACCAUAUGUGUGUUCAGAAUGCUAAAACACAAAACAACAACAACAACAACAACAAAAACAACAAAAACAAAAAAGUAGUUCCACCCAGAACUAUAUCACAAAUAUCAGGUUUUUCAGAUUGGAUUUUAAUCUA